rnacentral:lncRNA from 1 species
CCAUGCGAAAAUAAACCUCAUAUUCAUAUUAUAAUUCAGCCCCAAAUUAUAACAUCUUAAACAUUUACAAAUUACCCUAGCUUACAAUACACCAUAUUUAUAAUAUGGGCUCACAGAGUUAUUUCAUCUAUAAUAAUACACGACUAAAGGUAUACAAAUCCUACAACUGCGGAGUUCUAUAGCAGAUAAAUACAAAUAAGUUUUCGUACAAAUAGUUAGUAAAUAAAUUGAUUACUAAAAUUAGAAGAUUCUUUUCUAGCUUUAUAGUGAAGGGAACAGAGCUUUAUCGGGGCAAGAGAAAUCUAUUUCCUGGAAAGGUUAAACAAAUAGAUGUGAGUUUAAAAUGAAUAAUAAUUAUCGCACAAUAUAUGCAUUCACACGAAUGUGUAAAUAUAUCAAUCUAAUCAUCCGAGUAGUUAUAUGAUCUUACAGGCAGUCACACAAAUGGCACAAUAACAGCACCCACAAGUGAUGUCACCUUCAAAUAAUCAAGCAAGUGGAAAUUAGUCAGUGGCGUCACCUAAAACCCCAACGAGCCGUCCUCACACAUGGCUCGUCCUCUCAUACGUGUGCACUAGGGAGCCGAUCCCCUAUAUCUGGCCGACCAGUUUAAUCCUCACUUGACCAGCCUUCUCAUUAUUUUUCCAUUCUCUCUUUUCUUUUCCAUACAACAGGAGGCAAGCCGGUCGUCUCCGUCAAAUCUAGAUCAUCAGGCGCACACAACAGGAGGCCACCCUGCGGGCUACCAUCAAAUCCAGAUUAUCAGGUGCGCCCAAUAAGAGACCACCCUCUGGUUUCCAUAUCAUCCAGAUCAUAUCAUUAGGGGCACACGGGGUGCCGAUCUCUACGGCCAACGGUCUCGUAGACCGCCCUCACAAACCCAUGGUGAUCCACUUCAUCCCAACUCCACAUAAACAAAGCAUAACAUUAUCACAACACAAAUAAUCAAGCAUUGCAAUUAAAUGCAAGCAUAGCAAAAAAUUAAUUAACAUGAUGCAAAUACACAAGUAGACAUUCAUAGUUAAUUAUAAUUAAAUAGAGAAAUAAUAAUCAACAACAUAUUAUUAUAAUAAUUGAUCCGCUAAAAAUAAAUAAAUAAUUAAUUAAAUAAAUAAAUAAAUAAUAAUAAUAAAAUAAUUAGAAAAUUUUAUUUAUUAUGUAUUAAGUUAAGGAAUUAAUCUAAAUAAACCUAUUAACUUAAUCAUUAAAUAUAGGUAGCCUAGAUUCUAUCGAAAUUUCGCCAGCACUUGCCCUAAAAUAAGACUAUCCACCUACUAGAAUAACAAAAGUAUUAAAUAUUUAUCAACCAUUACACACACACACAACCCAUCUACCGGGCGAUCAAUCAAGUUAAAAUCCCAUCCUCCUUCCAAAACAACAAUGUCAACACUCAACCAUUAAUUUACAACUUACAAUAACCUCUAAUCAUGUUCCAAUGAUAAUAGCAAUCAUUCUUUACUUCAUAUAAUUAUAAUUAGCUUCUAUAGCUAGUUACCAAACAAAUGAAAGCUUUAAUACAUAUAUAAUCGAAUAAAACCUAGAUCAUUAAGUUAAUUUCAAUUACUUUCAUUUGAUCGUUUCGUAGUGUCUAACUAUAUAGUACUCUUUAUCAAGCUUUCAUUUCUUCAUCCUUGCUUAAAGAUAACAACCACAUAUUUAUACCUUUAUUAAAUUUUAAAUUAGCCAAUAAGAACAAAUGCUUCAAUUAAACUAACAUUUAAUGGAUACAUCUAUUAAGAAAUCCAAUUUUACAACUUAAGAUAUACCAACUAACUAAUUCCUAGUAAGAAUUAAAUCUACUACAAUAAAUAUUCCAUAUCAAGCAAUAAUCUAUAUAAAUGAUUGAAAAUAACUGCUGCCACUGCCCAAAGUUUCUCAAUUCUUAUCAAACAUAGUCAUUCGAACCUCUACAUCCACAACAAGUUACGAAGAGCGCAUUUAUUCUAACAAUAUAAACUUGGUUCAAGCAAAAAUCCAUGAUUUCCCCUAACUAGAAGUUGCCAUUAUAUCAAAAAAAUCUUAAGUUAUUGAUUAAAUUUAUACAUUAUAUGCUACUUAACCCAUUUCCCCUCAACAACUUAAUUUAUAACUUCGUUUGCAUUAUACCACAACAAUUAUUCAACUAAAUAGUUAAAAUGGCAAGCUGCCAUUUCAGGUUUAUCAAUUCUUUCACCAAAAUAUGCAUUAAACUAAAUAAUUUAUUCACUUGUAUAAGGAAUUUCAGUUUAUAAAUCAAUUUAAAGAGUAAAAUCAAAGCUUCUAGUUAUUUACACUUAAACAGUAGCAAAUUUAGGAAUUUAAACUCUACCCAACUUGAUUCAUGCAUCAAAUUCUAUACUCUUGGUCAAAGAAUUCACUAAAUGUAUCAAAGAAGGUUGAAAUCCGACUUACCCAGCUGAAAAACGCACCGAAAGACUGAGAUUUUUCGAUUAAAGUGACCGGAAGUGAACUUCAAAGCCAAAACCCACUGCAGCCGGCGAUAGCUUGACUGGAGGAGACAACAAUGGAGUAUCAAAGGCUGCUGGCAAUGAGAGAAGGUUCAGUCUCAUCGGCUUGCGUUUGAUCUCGCCGGAAAAAUAAAAG